rnacentral:lncRNA from 1 species
AAACUAGUAAAGAGAUAAUUAAGUUUAAAAUGUUAUACCAGAAGAAGCAAUUAAGAGAAUAACAAGCAAGCAAGCCAAUUUAAUGUGAGAAGUUUCUUUCCAUUCUUUCAAUUUGGUGCAGUAUGAAUUAAGGAGAUAUAAAUAUGCUAAGGGAUGGUUGGGAUUUAUAGUUUCAAUAAUGGCUAUGCUUGCCCACUUGGGAAGUUUUCGAUAUAAAAAAAAGAAAAUAAAAGAAAUACAGUAUAUAUAUGGUAUUUUAAUUUUAAUUUGUUAUAGAGUAUAUGGUAUGUUAUCUGAAUUACGUUUAUAUUAAACUUAGUUGCUUACCUACAAUUACAUAAAUAAGGAAAAGAAAAAGAAUUAUAUAUAAAUCUUUGCUGUGCUUUCUCAUUUUAAAAUUUGAGAGAAAACCUAGCUAGCAUAAAUUAACCGUUAACAGAAGAUUAACACACAACAAAUUUCUACUAAUAAUAUGUCAUAUUUGCAUCCUAAUUCGUUUAUUAAAGCUGGUUUGAUUGUCGAACAUUCAUAUCUUGCCACAAUGAUGAUCACAAUUGUUGCAUAUCUUUGCUCUUGUUUGAGAUACGUCAAGGCAAUUUUAAUGAUUUUUCUUGCAGUCUUAACUGAAUAGUUCUCUUGCCAAAGCUACACAUAUUGCCAUUUGUGUGCCAACAGAUGACCCCAUUACUGGACUUUCAAAUUGUUCAGGUUUUGUUCCUGAGUUUGCAAAAUUUGAUCUUGGUGUUGAUCAAAGUAGUCAUGGAAUUACAAGCUAUGACAAAAUGAAAAAGAAAAUCCUUCGGAUAUGGACAACUGAGUAAAGAUUAAAGCCAUCUACUUCUAGAUCUAUAUACUAAAAGCCAUUUGUGAACCGUAAUUACCAACCACCCAUGGCAUACUUGUCUCUCUUUCAAACUGCACCAACUUAAAAAAAUGGUGAAAACUUCUCAACUUAAAUUGUCUUGCUUGGUUCUUCUUCUCUUUAAUUGCUUCUUCUGAUAUAUUUAUUUUAAAGGAAAUUACCAUUUUCACCCUCAAGAUGUCAAAAACAAAAAAUAUAACAAUACUUUAAAAUCGACCAUCUUUCUACUCGUUGGUAAAUUUAUACAAAAAGACGGUUUUCCCAUUGUAAUUAAUUAAACAUUAGAGUAAUAAUAUAGCCACAAACUCUUGUACAAACUUAUUUUGUACAAACUUAUGUGGCAUGAUAAGAUUGGUUGAAUUAAAUAUCACUUGGCCCACAUGAUUUGUUUUCAUUAUUUUAUAUUUUCAUUCAACCAAUGAAUUAGUGCCACGUCAGUUUGUACAAAAUAAAUUUGUACAAUAGUUUGUGGCUAUAUCAUUACUCUAAACAUUAUUAUGCAGGACAUUUUUCAAUGGCGGCUGGAUAGGACAAAUGAUGUGAGAUUUGGAUCUAAAUUACGAGUUAUUUAGAAAGGUUUGUACAAACUCCUGUACAAAU